CCUACGGGAGGCAGCAGUGAGGAAUAUUGGUCAAUGGCCGGAAGGCUGAACCAGCCAUGCCGCGUGAGGGUCAGUGCCCUAUGGGCGUUAAACUCCUUUUUUUCGGGGGCAAUAAUGGUCACGUGUGGCCAGACGAGAGUACCGUACGAAUAAGCAUCGGCUAACUCCGUGCCAGCAGCCGCGGUAAUACGGGGGAUGCAAGCGUUAUCCGGAUUUAUUGGGUUUAAAGGGUGCGUAGGCGGGAGUGCAAGUCAGAUGUGAAAACUAUGGGCUCAACCCAUAGCCUGCAUUUGAAACUGGACUUCUUGAGUGCGGGAGAGGCAAGCGGAAUUCGGGGUGUAGCGGUGAAAUGCGUAGAUAUACGGAGGAACACCAGUGGCGAAGGCGGAUUGCUGGACAGUAACUGACGCUGAGGCGCGAAAGCGUGGGGAUCAAACAGGAUUAGAUACCCGAGUAGUC
rnacentral:rRNA from 1 species